AGAGUUUGAUCCUGGCUCAGGACGAACGCUGGCGGCGUGCUUAACACAUGCAAGUCGAACGGAGAUUAUAGCAAUAUAAUCUUAGUGGCGGACGGGUGAGUAACGCGUGGGCAACCUACCUUUUACUGGGGGAUAACACAGGGAAACUUGUGCUAAUACCGCAUAACAUACAGAGAGGACAUCCUUUUUGUAUCAAAGGA
rnacentral:rRNA from 1 species